rnacentral:misc_RNA from 1 species
AAGUCGUAACAAGGUCUUCGUAGGUGAACCUGCGGAGGGAUCAUUAUUGAAUGUUGGGUCUGCGUCUUGUGAAACACCGAGCGCGCCCACACUCUUUACCACACACACUUGUGAACCCUUUUCGAGCUGCCCUCUUCGUGAUGGGCGGCGAGAAGCACUUGUGAUUUUAAACCAGUCUAGGAUGUCAAUCCAAUUGAUAACUACAAA